GACUCGGUGGCGCGACGGUAGCGCGUCUGACUCCAGAUCAGAAGGCUGCGUGUUCAAAUUACGUCCGGGUCA
rnacentral:tRNA from 13 species